AAGACUAUAGACCUGCGGAGUACCUGCGGAAGGAUCAUUACCGAGUUUACAAAACUCCCAAACCCUUUGUGAACCUUACCUAUCGUUGCUUCGGCGGGACCGCCCCGGCGCCCUCGCGGCCCGGAACCAGGCGCCCGCCGGAGGCCCCAAACCCUCAUGUCUUUAGUGGUUUCCUCCUCUGAGUGACAUAAACAAAUAAAGUAAAAACUUUCAACAACGGAUCUCUAGAUCGGAAGAGCA
rnacentral:misc_RNA from 1 species